UGGGGUGUAGCCAAGCGGUAAGGCAACAGACUUUGACUCUGUCAUCUCACUGGUUCGAUCCCAGUCACCCCAGCCA
rnacentral:tRNA from 3 species